rnacentral:lncRNA from 1 species
AUGCUUCUUAAUCAUCCCAGAGAUUCCUUGAAAUGUUUUCUGGAAGAAUCCAUCACAACACCCAGACUUCUCGGUUCAAGGAUGCCUGACUGCUUUCCUCUCAAGUCAGGGAAAAGGAAGACAAGUAGAACCAGGACCUCUUUUCCUUUUCAACACAACAGACCUGUCCAGGACUCUCCAGAAACCUCCUGUUGCUGCUUCACUGGCCUGAACUAUGUCACGUGGCCAGGGUGGAGCUCUCCCAUUUCAGACCCUUUACCGGUCCGUCCUUCUGGCAGAGAACACUCUUGCGUCAUUUAUCUGCACAGCUCAUUCCUCCCUUCUCUCCAUCCGGGCUGGAAUGGCGUCUCCUCAGACAGGCUUCCCGACCUUUCUCUGCAGCGAUGCAGCUACAGAAUGGACUCUGAAUGA